rnacentral:rRNA from 1 species
AGUGAACGCUGGCGGUAGGCCUAACACAUGCAAGUCGAACGGCAGCACAGUAAGAGCUUGCUCUUACGGGUGGCGAGUGGCGGACGGGUGAGGAAUACAUCGGAAUCUACUUUUUCGUGGGGGAUAACGUAGGGAAACUUACGCUAAUACCGCAUACGACCUACGGGUGAAAGCAGGGGAUCUUCGGACCUUGCGCGAUUGAAUGAGCCGAUGUCGGAUUAGCUAGUUGGCGGGGUAAAGGCCCGCCAAGGCGACGAUCUGUAGCUGGUCUGAGAGGAUGAUCAGCCACACUGGAACUGAGACACGGUCCAGACUCCUACGGGAGGCAGCAGUGGGGAAUAUUGGACAAUGGGCGCAAGCCUGAUCCAGCCAUACCGCGUGGGUGAAGAAGGCCUUCGGGUUGUAAAGCCCUUUUGUUGGGAAAGAAAAGCAGCAGGUUAAUACCCCGCUGUUCUGACGGUACCCAAAGAAUAAGCACCGGCUAACUUCGUG